CCAGCAGCUGCGGUAAUUCCAGCUCCAAUAGCGUAUAUUAAAGUUGUUGCAGUUAAAAAGCUCGUAGUCGAAUGUGUGCGGAUUGACUUUUUUGGUUGUUGGGCGUUGCUGUAAAAGGUGAUGUUCUGAUGAGCAAUGGAGGGUUCGCAAUGGUAGCUUGGGUGCAGUGAGUGUCGGCGGGUGCUUAAGUGUGCUCGGCGGGACGGCAUCCUGAUUACUGUGAAAAAAUUAGAGUGUUCCAGGCGGUCGGUUCGACUGAAUAGAUUAGCAUGGAAUAAUGGAAGAGGACGAAGUUUCCACUUUUGUUGGUCGGUGGAGGACGUUGUAAUGAUUAAGAGGGACAGUUGGGGGCAUUCGUAUUUAAUAGCUAGAGGUGAAAUUCAAGGACUUAUGAAAGACGGACUUCUGCGAAAGCAUCUGCCAAGGAUGUUUUCAUUGAUCAAGAACGAAAGU
rnacentral:rRNA from 1 species